rnacentral:lncRNA from 1 species
UCUUAAUAAAUCAGACUAUUCAGCAGCCAGUAGAAGGCUUUUCUCUUGAUUUUUUGAGUUUGGUUUCUGUCUUCCACUAAUGAUUGUUGAUUAUAUUUUAGGAAGUCUGAAACCCCCAGACAUGGAAUUCCUGAGAGCAUUACACUGACCGUGCUGGAAAACAUCCCUACUGAGUCAGGUAACAAUUUGAUAAAAGUAAUGUGUGUCAUUGCAAGCCUGAACACACUAUUUCUCCUCCCAUCAUGCAGUUUUUGAACAUGAUGAGACAACCACAUUCAUGGUGGAUGACUGGGUCACUUCUCCAUACUGGUAUGAUCUAUCUUGGACAGAGGAGGAGCCCGAGACCACCCACUCUCCCCUUGAUAUCCUGCCUGUCCUUCUCACAGAUUCCACACAGCCAAUAGAAGUAGCGACAGAGUCUCAGCCAAUGGAAGUCUUUGAGGAGACGGUGACAUCAUUCCCAGAUGAAGGGACCUCUGAGACGACGUCUUUCCAGUGGGACAACCUCCCAUGGGUUCGGAUCGGACUAAUCGGCGGAGUCUUGCUGGUCACGUCAAUGGUGCUUUGCAUUCUGGGAGCGCUCUUAAAGAUGUAGUUUCCCACCUUCAGCUGAUCUCCACUAACCAGCUCCUACUUGGACCAUGGUCUUUAGUACACUCCAUAGCUUUUCAGUCAGAUUUAAGUAUAACACACUUCCAGUAUGUGUAGUCUGUCUCCAGGUUGGCCCUACCUCUGCCAGUCUUGGUCUGCACUGUGUGACUCUCUCUGAACGUUUUGAUAAUCUGAUAUACUUGUAUAUCAUUCUUGCUUUGUAGGCAUUAACAAUCCCUUUUCUCAAAUCUCUCACUUUUGCCAUGAUGCUUAAAGGUAAUCAAAUGCUUACAUGGUCGCUCAGUUAAAGGGGCUACUAAUUUUGUAAAGUGUCUCUGUAAACAAGCCAUACAGCACAUUAAAGGGGAAAUAUAAUUAUUUUUUUAAUAUUUUACAUUAUAAUAUAUGUCAUGAUGUUGCCUCCUUAUGUGUAGACUAAACUGAAUAUGUGCAUGUGUCCUAUAUGACAGGUGGACAACCUUGG